AUUGUUUGCUGAACAUGCGAGAAGAUGAUCACAAUAUGAUAUUGUGAUCAUCUUCUCGCAUGUUCAGCAAACAAU